UACGAAGGGGGCUAGCGUUGUUCGGAAUUACUGGGCGUAAAGCGUGCGCAGGCGGCCUUCCAAGUCAGGGGUGAAAGCCCAGAGCUCAACUCUGGAAUUGCCUUUGAGACUGUGAGGCUUGAGCACGGGGAGAGGUGAGUGGAAUUCCCAGUGUAGAGGUGAAAUUCGUAGAUAUUGGGAAGAACACCGGUGGCGAAGGCGGCUCACUGGCCCGAAACUGACGCUCAUGCACGACAGCGUGGGGAUCAAACAGG
rnacentral:rRNA from 1 species